rnacentral:rRNA from 1 species
CGGUGGUAUGGGAUGGGCCCGCGUCUGAUUAGGCAGUUGGCGGGGUAACGGCUCACCAAACCGACGAUCAGUAGCCGGCCUGAGAGGGCGACCGGCCACAUUGUGACUGAGACACGGCCCAAACUCCUACGGGAGGCAGCAGUGGGGAAUAUUGCACAAUGGGGGAAACCCUGAUGCAGCGACGCCGCGUGAGCGAAGAAGUAUUUCGGUAUGUAAAGCUCUAUCAGCAGGGAAGAUAAUGACGGUACCUGACUAAGAAGCCCCGGCUAACUACGUGCCAGCAGCCGCGGUAAUACGUAGGGGGCAAGCGUUAUCCGGAUUUACUGGGUGUAAAGGGAGCGUAGACGGCAAGGCAAGUCUGAUGUGAAAACCCAGGGCUUAACCCUGGGACUGCAUUGGAAACUGUCUGGCUCGAGUGCCGGAGAGGUAAGCGGAAUUCCUAGUGUAGCGGUGAAAUGCGUAGAUAUUAGGAAGAACACCAGUGGCGAAGGCGGCUUACUGGACGGUAACUGACGUUGAGGCUCGAAAGCGUGGGGAGCAAACAGGAUUAGAUACCCUGGUAGUCCACGCCGUAAACG